rnacentral:rRNA from 1 species
UUAAGUUAGAAAGGGCGCACGGUGGAUGCCUUGGCACUAGGAGCCGAUGAAGGACGGGACGAACACCGAUAUGCUUCGGGGAGCUGUAAGCAAGCUUUGAUCCGGAGAUUUCCGAAUGGGGAAACCCACCACUCGUAAUGGAGUGGUAUCCAUAUCUGAAUACAUAGGAUAUGAGAAGGCAGACCCGGGGAACUGAAACAUCUAAGUACCCGGAGGAAGAGAAAGCAAAUGCGAUUCCCUGAGUAGCGGCGAGCGAAACGGGACCAGCCCAAACCAAGAGGCAAGCCUCUUGGGGUUGUAGGACACUCUGUACGGAGUUACAAAGGAACGAGGUAGAUGAAGAGGUCUGGAAAGGCCCGCCAUAGGAGGUAACAGCCCUGUAGUCAAAACUUCGUUCUCUCCUGAGUGGAUCCUGAGUACGGCGGAACACGUGAAAUUCCGUCGGAAUCCGGGAGGACCAUCUCCCAAGGCUAAAUACUCCCUAGUGACCGAUAGUGAACCAGUACCGUGAGGGAAAGGUGAAAAGCACCCCGGAAGGGGAGUGAAAGAGAUCCUGAAACCGUGUGCCUACAAGUAGUCAGAGCCCGUUAACGGGUGAUGGCGUGCCUUUUGUAGAAUGAACCGGCGAGUUACGAUCCCGUGCAAGGUUAAGCAGAAGAUGCGGAGCCGCAGCGAAAGCGAGUCUGAAUAGGGCGAAUUGAGUACGUGGUCGUAGACCCGAAACCAGGUGAUCUACCCAUGUCCAGGGUGAAGUUCAGGUAACACUGAAUGGAGGCCCGAACCCACGCACGUUGAAAAGUGCGGGGAUGAGGUGUGGGUAGGGGUGAAAUGCCAAUCGAACCUGGAGAUAGCUGGUUCUCUCCGAAAUAGCUUUAGGGCUAGCCUCAAGGUAAGAGUCUCGGAGGUAGAGCACUGAUUGGACUAGGGGCCCCUACCGGGUUACCGAAUUCAGUCAAACUCCGAAUGCCGAUGACUUAUCCUUGGGAGUCAGACUGCGAGUGAUAAGAUCCGUAGUCGAAAGGGAAACAGCCCAGACCGCCAGCUAAGGUCCCAAAGUAUACGUUAAGUGGAAAAGGAUGUGGAGUUGCUUAGACAACCAGGAUGUUGGCUUAGAAGCAGCCACCAUUUAAAGAGUGCGUAAUAGCUCACUGGUCGAGUGACUCUGCGCCGAAAAUGUACCGGGGCUAAACGUAUCACCGAAGCUGCGGACUGUUCUUCGAACAGUGGUAGGAGAGCGUUCUAAGGGCUGUGAAGCAAGACCGGAAGGACUUGUGGAGCGCUUAGAAGUGAGAAUGCCGGUAUGAGUAGCGAAAGAGGGGUGAGAAUCCCCUCCACCGAAUGCCUAAGGUUUCCUGAGGAAGGCUCGUCCGCUCAGGGUUAGUCGGGACCUAAGCCGAGGCCGAAAGGCGUAGGCGAUGGAUAACAGGUUGAUAUUCCUGUACCACCUCCUCACCAUUUGAGCAAUGGGGGGACGCAGGAGGAUAGGGUAAGCGCGGUAUUGGAUAUCCGCGUCCAAGCAGUUAGGCUGGGAAAUAGGCAAAUCCGUUUCCCGUGAAGGCUGAGCUGUGAUGGCGAGCGAAUUAUAGUAGCGAAGUUCCUGAUUCCACACUGCCAAGAAAAGCCUCUAGCGAGGUGAGAGGUGCCCGUACCGCAAACCGACACAGGUAGGCGAGGAGAGAAUCCUAAGGUGAUCGAGAGAACUCUCGUUAAGGAACUCGGCAAAAUGACCCCGUAACUUCGGGAGAAGGGGUGCUCUGUUAGGGUGCAAGCCCGAGAGAGCCGCAGUGAAUAGGCCCAGGCGACUGUUUAGCAAAAACACAGGUCUCUGCGAAGCCGUAAGGCGAAGUAUAGGGGCUGACGCCUGCCCGGUGCUGGAAGGUUAAGAGGAGCGCUUAGCGUAAGCGAAGGUGCGAAUUGAAGCCCCAGUAAACGGCGGCCGUAACUAUAACGGUCCUAAGGUAGCGAAAUUCCUUGUCGGGUAAGUUCCGACCCGCACGAAAGGCGCAACGAUCUGGGCACUGUCUCAACGAGAGACUCGGUGAAAUUAUAGUACCUGUGAAGAUGCAGGUUACCCGCGACAGGACGGAAAGACCCCGUGGAGCUUUACUGCAGCCUGAUAUUGAAUGUUGGUACAGCUUGUACAGGAUAGGUAGGAGCCUUGGAAACCGGAGCGCCAGCUUCGGUGGAGGCAUCGGUGGGAUACUACCCUGGCUGUAUUGACCUUCUAACCCGCCGCCCUUAUCGGGCGGGGAGACAGUGUCAGGUGGGCAGUUUGACUGGGGCGGUCGCCUCCUAAAAGGUAACGGAGGCGCCCAAAGGUUCCCUCAGAAUGGUUGGAAAUCAUUCGCAGAGUGUAAAGGCACAAGGGAGCUUGACUGCGAGACCUACAAGUCGAGCAGGGACGAAAGUCGGGCUUAGUGAUCCGGUGGUUCCGCAUGGAAGGGCCAUCGCUCAACGGAUAAAAGCUACCCCGGGGAUAACAGGCUUAUCUCCCCCAAGAGUCCACAUCGACGGGGAGGUUUGGCACCUCGAUGUCGGCUCAUCGCAUCCUGGGGCUGUAGUCGGUCCCAAGGGUUGGGCUGUUCGCCCAUUAAAGCGGUACGCGAGCUGGGUUCAGAACGUCGUGAGACAGUUCGGUCCCUAUCCGUCGCGGGCGCAGGAAAUUUGAGAGGAGCUGUCCUUAGUACGAGAGGACCGGGAUGGACGCACCGCUGGUGUACCAGUUGUUCUGCCAAGGGCAUCGCUGGGUAGCUAUGUGCGGACGGGAUAAGUGCUGAAAGCAUCUAAGCAUGAAGCCCCCCUCAAGAUGAGAUUUCCCAUUCCGCAAGGAAGUAAGAUCCCUGAAAGAUGAUCAGGUUGAUAGGUCUGAGGUGGAAGUGUGGCGACACAUGGAGCUGACAGAUACUAAUCGAUCGAGGACUUAACCAA